rnacentral:rRNA from 2 species
GCUGGCGGCGUGCCUAAUACAUGCAAGUCGAGCGAACAGAUAAGGAGCUUGCUCCUUUGACGUUAGCGGCGGACGGGUGAGUAACACGUGGGUAACCUACCUAUAAGACUGGAAUAACUCCGGGAAACCGGGGCUAAUGCCGGAUAACAUUUAGAACCGCAUGGUUCUAAAGUGAAAGAUGGUUUUGCUAUCACUUAUAGAUGGACCCGCGCCGUAUUAGCUAGUUGGUAAGGUAACGGCUUACCAAGGCAACGAUACGUAGCCGACCUGAGAGGGUGAUCGGCCACACUGGAACUGAGACACGGUCCAGACUCCUACGGGAGGCAGCAGUAGGGAAUCUUCCGCAAUGGGCGAAAGCCUGACGGAGCAACGCCGCGUGAGUGAUGAAGGUCUUCGGAUCGUAAAACUCUGUUAUUAGGGAAGAACAAAUGUGUAAGUAACUGUGCAC